UACAGGGGGGGCAAGCGUUGUUCGGAAUUACUGGGCGUAAAGGGUUCGUAGGUGGCUUACUAAGUCAGACGUGAAAUCCCUCAGCUUAACUGGGGAACUUCGUCUGAUACUGGAAAGCUUGAGUGCAGGAGAGGAACGCGGAAUUCCAGGUGUAGCGAUGAAAUGCGUAGAUAUCUGGAGGAACACCGGUGGCGAAGGCGGCGUUCUGGACUGCAACUGACACUGAUGAACGAAAGCCAGGGGAGCAAACGGG
rnacentral:rRNA from 1 species